AUAGCCAUUCGUACACCCCGGUUCCUCCGUGCCGUCCGCACCACCUGACGACUGCUCGCUACGUGUUGUUAGCC
rnacentral:sRNA from 4 species